AGCAUGUCCAUUUAAAAAUUACAAAACAAACAAAAAAAUUGCCCACACAAAUCAACUUUAAUAGUGUUUUGGAUGAAGUUCUGUCUGGAGUAAACUGCAGCAACUUUCAAACACUAAUCCAGGAGAUAACAGAGAAACACACUCUGUAAACAAAAGUACAAACUUGGAGGUUCCAGUUGCACUUGGCAUAGUUUCCAGACAUUUACCAACUUUCCAGCUUAGAGUCUCUCAUGCCAGACUAACUUUCAUCUAUGGAAGUUUCAAAUAACUGAUAAUAGGUUUAUAUCAUGAGGUGAACUAAAGCUGCUCAAUUUACCUUCAGAAGAUGUGACAGAUCGGAACACAAAAACAAUGAUCGAUCUUCAGCAAAUGGAUAAGGCGCUGUAUACGGUUUAUCUAAAGAUGCUCAUACGCUGCUGGAGAACGGCAAUACAAUUCAAUGCACCAACGCAAGACAUCUGGGUGGUACCGCCUUGCAUUUGGAAGAACAUCAGCGUUUUUUUGCUUGCUCCUCCAAAAAUAACUAUUUCCAUUUAUUCUGAACAAGCAAAUCAAGGUCUAACUAAGUGACUGAUAUUCAAGUUUUGACUAUAAGUUAAUACCUAUGUACUUUUUGUUUUCUCUUGUGUUGCCUGGUAAAUUUCCUUUGAGCAUUCUUCACAUUUGGCCUUUCCAUCAAUAGCUAAAAUUGGCAGCAACUUUAGUUGCAAAAUAAAGUUUAUCAUGUUGGCAUAUAUUUUCCGAUGAUUUCACACUUGUCGGGCCAAUAAAUAUUAUUGGUUAUUAUUUUUCCACUGUGCCACUGUAAAAUUGGAUGUGAAUUUAAACCCUGAACUGCCUCAGUACAGCCAACACCCUCACACAUUACAAUUCCUUCUGCACUUUCUGCAAAUAAUGGCUGUUACAAAUCAUUUUUCAAGUGUCAUAUGUAUUCUGGUUACUUAAAAUCCUGAACAAUGUUGAGUGUUUGGGGUCGUCAAUAAUAUUGCAAUCCGGGCAAAUCCAUCCAUACACAGAAAUCACUUGCACUUUCAUUGUAUUAUCUAUUUCAAGUCUAUUUUGGGAUACAAUUAUUGGACUAAUAAAUCUAGUAUGGACUAAACUAUAAAAAUUCUCUACCUGACUUUUGGAACCAAAUGGUUGUCCUCUUUCAUCUCACAAACAAACCUUUCCUUUGAACAAUAAAAUAUCCAUUUAUCUGCAUUAAUGUUUACUCAAUUUAAUUAUCCUUAUUCACCCAUUCGCUUUUAUAUUUUGGCUGAUUUAAUUUUUACCUUUCAUUUCAAUGCUAAGUCUUUUGGAUGAUUGUUUUAAGUUGCUCAAUACUGCUGUGAAUUAUUUUUUGCUGAACUACUCUUCUAGCUGGUGACUUUCUUUUGUGUGUCACAUUAAUUUUUUUUGGUAACUCAAGACAUGGCCUGGCUCCCAUUUUUAAAAUCGUUUUUUCCCAACUUCUACUAUGUUUUCUUCUCUAAAAUGGAUCUCACAAAUUCCCGCCCUUCAAAGCAAUAAAAGCUUGAUUACUAAACUGAUGUAUAUCAGUUAAAUAUAUUGUGUAUUGUGAAAUUGUCAUUAUUAAUACGGCAUAUUGAUACUGUACAGAGUACUACAAACUCUAGAAAACAAUAUAUUUUGCAAAGAAGAAAACAACAGCAAAUAGGGUAAUUUAGAAAGAUAAGGGUAAUCCAGCAACAUACGUUUCUUUGUGAAGCAUUUUUUUUAAUGACAUCUCCUGCGUUGGCAUCCUGCAUUCCCAACAGAAAAUUCGUGAGGUACUGUCGGUGUUCGCGUUCAAUUUUAGUUUUUGCGAACUCCGGACGACGCACACCAAAAAUUGUUUUACAUUUAAUACUUUUAGCCUUCGCUAAUUUCAUUGACCAGUUGCAACCUGGCACUGCGCAAUGCGUAACUCCCAUUUUUUACAAAAUUUCGGAUAUUUUCUGCAGCAAUAUGGUUUCACACUUUAGUUAGUUGUUGAUAUGGUGUUCUUUGUUGUUACGGACGACCAAUCCAGUGCUAUUCAUGCGUGACGAGA